GAUGAACGCUAGCGGCAGGCUUAAUACAUGCAAGUCGUGGGGCAGCGCAGUGUAGCAAUACAUGGGCGGCGACCGGCAAACGGGUGCGGAACACGUACACAACCUUCCUUCAAAUGGGGAAUAGCCCAGGGAAACUUGGAUUAAUACCCCGUAACAUUAUGAGGUGGCAUCACUUUAUAAUUAUAGCUCCGGCGUUUGGAGAUGGGUGUGCGGCUGAUUAGGUAGUUGGCGGGGAACGCCCACCAAGCCUUCGAUCAGUAACUGGUGUGAGAGCACGACCAGUCACACGGGCACUGAGACACGGGCCCGACUCCUACGGGAGGCAGCAGUAAGGAAUAUUGGGCAAUGGACGCAAGUCUGACCCAGCCAUGCCGCGUGGAGGAUGAAGGUCCUCUGGAUUGUAAACUUCUUUUCUCU
rnacentral:rRNA from 1 species